rnacentral:rRNA from 1 species
GAAGGCGGGCUGGAAUCUCUCGGGGUUACAGCCUUGCUGAAUUAUUCACCCUUGUCUUUUGCGUACUUCUUGUUUCCUUGGUGGGUUCGCCCACCACUAGGACAAACAUAAACCUUUUGUAAUUGCAAUCAGCGUCAGUAACAAAUUAAUAAUUACAACUUUCAACAACGGAUCUCUUGGUUCUGGCAUCGAUGAAGAACGCAGCGAAAUGCGAUAAGUAGUGUGAAUUGCAGAAUUCAGUGAAUCAUCGAAUCUUUGAACGCACAUUGCGCCCUUUGGUAUUCCAAAGGGCAUGCCUGUUCGAGCGUCAUUUGUACCCUCAAGCUUUGCUUGGUGUUGGGCGUCUUGUCUCUAGCUUUGCUGGAGACUCGCCUUAAAGUAAUUGGCAGCCGGCCUACUGGUUUCGGAGCGCAUUCAAGUCGCACUCUCUAUCAGCAAAGGUCUAGCAUCCAUUAAGCCUUUUUUCAUUCUUUUGACCUCGGAUCAGGUAGGGAUACCCGCUGAACUUAAGCAUAUCAAUAAGCGGAGGAAUCUU